rnacentral:rRNA from 2 species
GGUCCACUCCCGUAAACGAUGAGUGCUAAUUAUUAGAGGGUUUCUGCCCUUUAGUGCUGCAGCAAACGCAUUAAGCACUCCGCCUGGGGAGUACGGCCGCAAGGCUGAAACUCAAAGGAAUUGACGGGGGCCCGCACAAGCGGUGGAGCAUGUGGUUUAAUUUGAAGCAACGCGAAGAACCUUACCAGGUCUUGACAUCUCCUGACAAUCCUAGAGAUAGGACGUUCCCCUUCGGGGGACAGGAUGACAGGUGGUGCAUGGUUGUCGUCAGCUCGUGUCGUGAGAUGUUGGGUUAAGUCCCGCAACGAGCGCAACCCUUGAUCUUAGUUGCCAGCAUUUAGUUGGGCACUCUAAGGUGACUGCCGGUGACAAACCGGAGGAAGGUGGGGAUGACGUCAAAUCAUCAUGCCCCUUAUGACCUGGGCUACACACGUGCUACAAUGGAUGGUACAAAGGGCAGCAAAACCGCGAGGUCGAGCCAAUCCCAUAAAACCAUUCUCAGUUCGGAUUGUAGGCUGCAACUCGCCUACAUGAAGCUGGAAUCGCUAGUAAUCGCGGAUCAGCAUGCCGCGGUGAAUACGUUCCCGGGCCUUGUACACACCGCCCGUCACACCACGAGAGUUUGUAACACCCGAAGUCGGUGGGGUAACCCUCUGGAGCCAGCCGCUAACGA